UACAGAGGGGGCAAGCGUUGUUCGGAAUUACUGGGCGUAAAGGGCGCGUAGGCGGCCUGUUAAGUCGAACGUGAAAUCCCCGGGCUCAACCCGGGAACUGCGUCCGAUACUGGCAGGCUUGAAUUCGGGAGAGGGAUGUGGAAUUCCAGGUGUAGCGGUGAAAUGCGUAGAUAUCUGGAGGAACACCGGUGGCGAAGGCGGCAUCCUGGACCAACACUGACGCUGAGGAGCGAAAGCCAGGGGAGCAAACGGG
rnacentral:rRNA from 1 species